rfam:Methanomicrobiales archaeon 53_19 MPJ_scaffold_160, whole genome shotgun sequence.
GCCUCGGUGGCAUAGCGGUAUCGCGCUUCCUUGGUAAGGAAGAGGUCGCGGGUUCGAUUCCCGCCCGAGGCU